AUGGGUGUGGCAGGAUACUAUGGCAUGAAACCGAUAUGGGACCAAGAGGACAAAGAAGCAGUAGCUGCGGGUGGGAAACUGGCCUUUAGUGAAAUCAGGGGUGAACACGCUAGAGACUACUUGCGGGCACAUGCAAGGAGGCGUGAUGAUGGAACUUAUUACUUUGAAAACUCACAUGACGAAGAACUGUAUCGCGUGAUGUUAAAGGCUUCCAAGAUCCCUGGAAAGUUCUACGGGAACUCAGGGCCAUGUGACAUUCUAUCUGAUGCUCUGGAAACAAGAGAGCCCCCUGACCAUGCAAGGGGUAUAGGUGUUAAUGUCCCGCACAAGAGGGCUUUCACACUCAGCAAAGAAGAGAGGCUCAGCACGCAAAAAAGCGAGGAGUGA
rnacentral:rRNA from 1 species